rnacentral:rRNA from 1 species
UGGGGAAUUUUGGACAAUGGGGGCAACCCUGAUCCAGCCAUGCCGCGUGCAGGAUGAAGGCCUUCGGGUUGUAAACUGCUUUUGUACGGAACGAAAAGUCUCUGGUUAAUACCUGGGGGCCAUGACGGUACCGUAAGAAUAAGCACCGGCUAACUACGUGCCAGCAGCCGCGGUAAUACGUAGGGUGCGAGCGUUAAUCGGAAUUACUGGGCGUAAAGCGUGCGCAGGCGGUCAUGCAAGACAGAGGUGAAAUCCUCGGGCUCAACCUGGGAACUGCCUUUGUGACUGCAUGGCUGGAGUGCGGCAGAGGGGGAUGGAAUUCCGCGUGUAGCAGUGAAAUGCGUAGAUAUGCGGAGGAACACCGAUGGCGAAGGCAAUCCCCUGGGCCUGCACUGACGCUCAUGCACGAAAGCGUGGGGAGCAAACAGG